rnacentral:rRNA from 1 species
ACCGGCAGCUCGAGUGGUGGCCACUUUUACUGGGCUUAAAGCGUUCGUAGAUGGUUUGUUAAGUCUCUGGGGAAAUCUUCCGGCUCAACCGGAAGGCGUCUCAGAGAUACUGGCAGGCUAGGGGCCGGAAGAGGUUAGAGGUACUCCCGGGGUAGGAGUGAAAUCCUGUAAUCCUUGGGGGACCACCUGUGGCGAAGGCGUCUCACCGGAACGGCCCCGACAGUGAGGAACGAAAGCUAGGGGCGCAAACCG